rnacentral:rRNA from 1 species
UUGGAGGGCAAGUCUGGUGCCAGCAGCCGCGGUAAUUCCAGCUCCAAUAGCGUAUAUUAAAGUUGUUGCAGUUAAAAAGCUCGUAGUUGAAUUUCGAGAUCAAUUUGUCGGUCGUGCCUCGGUAUGUACUGGCAUUAUUGAUUUCUCCCUUCUGAAGAACCGCGAUGUCAUUAAUUUGGUGUCGUGGGGAAUCAGGACUGUUACUUUGAAAAAAUUAGAGUGUUUAAAGCAGGCGCACGCUUGAAUACAUUAGCAUGGAAUAAUGAAAUAGGACGUUUGAUUCUAUUUUGUUGGUUUCUAGGAUCGACGUAAUGAUUAAUAGGGAUAGUUGGGGGCAUUAGUAUUCAAUUGUCAGAGGUGAAAUUCUUGGAUUUAUUGAAGACUAACUACUGCGAAAGCAUUUGCCAAGGAUGUUUUCAUUAAUCAAGAACGAAAGUUAGGGGAUCGAAGACGAUCAGAUACCGUCGUAGUCUUAACCAUAAACUAUGCCGACUAGGGAUCGGAUGAUGUUAAUUUUUUAAUGACUCAUUCGGCGCCUUACGGGAAAC